CCAGAAUUUCUAGUUGUUUUCAAUCGAUUUCGGUGUAAAAAGUAUCAAAUUUUCGACGAGAAAUUCCAAAUACUUUGUUUAUAUAGAUCUGAUGUUGGAAAUCCAACGUACUAUCUGCCGUUAGCCAAUCACAGGCCUGAAUCAAUUUGAUUUCUCCAGAGCUAUGCCCACCCUUAACCUGCGAACGGGCAUGCUCGGGGA